CUGUUUUUUAUAUAAUUAGUUGAAGGAAAUCAUUUACUGCUCAUUUAUCAAGAUGAGGGUAAGGAACUCAUCACAAAGAUUACCAUUUUAAGGGCUAUCAAUUCAAGGAAUAAUUAUAAAGGGAAUCUACACAUAUUGAAUUGAAGAUGAUCAUCUCUGCUCAGAUACGUUGCUCCAUGCUUAUAAAUUACACUUAAUUAUAUUGAUAAUUAUCCCUACUUAACUAUUAGACAACUGAACAAACAGAACAACAAUACUCUACGUAGGACUCUAGAAAUUAACGAAAAGAAGCAGCUUUUUUACGCCAAUUAGAAUUGAAAAAUAAAUACAUGCAAAUAAAUUUAUAGAUACUAUAUAGUUGUAUGACAAAUAUAUAAUUUACUUGAU
rnacentral:lncRNA from 1 species